CUGUUGUUGUACACGUUGCAAUGUUUAAUUUGCUAUCUGUAACAUAAUUUUGCUUUUUUGACAGUGUAUCUGAGGUGUGAGAAGUACAAAUCAAGCACAGACUGAAACAUUUUAAAAUACCAGUGUUUGCCAGAGCGUCCUCUCCAAAUUCUCAUAAAGACAGCUGACUUCCCUUAGCAAGAUCGCCAUAUGGGGUGCACUUCUGAGGAUGCACGUAAUUAGGUCUGCUGCUGCGGCAGAUGUUUAUGGAAAUAAAUUCCCACAGCUGACUCUGUGUGCAGAGACACUUUGUGAAAGGAAUGAAGUGGCUUGCAGUCAGCAACACCCUCCACAGAUACAACCAUUUCCUGCAUAAAAAGGAGAACAGAGCAGAGAGGAGAGGCAGGCUGGAUGAUGUGACUCCUCAUUUUAGGAGCUGCACAUCUCGAUGCUUAGCCCCUGCCAUGGUCCUGAAAGAUCUUACCAAGGACAGAGCGAUGGAGGAGGUUUGCCUGCCUUACAGUCUGAGGCAGUUGGUGUUAGGGAUCGCACAACAGCAACCAGAUGGAUGGAGGCAGUGUGCCUUCCCGUGUUUGCCAGGAAACUUUGCUCUGUCUUGGGCAAUCCAGGUGUUUGACAACUCCAGGUUGGUAUCUGAAGCUUCAGGUGGGAUUCUGCUGCCUAAACUUAAUCAUCUGGUGCCAUCCGAGAUGCCCUGGGGUAGCCUGCCUAUCAAAUGCCUGCCAGAUGUGCUGCCAGAAGGGCUUGGGUGCCUAUAG
rnacentral:lncRNA from 1 species